rnacentral:sRNA from 1 species
GUCGGUUUUGAUACAGACCCACGUAUGCGAGCAAUUUUAGUAAAGCAGUCUUCAGUUCAAGCGUUAGCCUAAGCUUCUUCCUGACUUCCUUCUUGAGUGCCUCAUAGUAAUCCCUGUUGACGAACCCUGUGCCCCCGUGGCUUACUACAAUAUUGAAGGAAAGACUUAUGUCUAACAAAAUGACUGGUUUGGUAAAAUGGUUCAACGCUGAGAAAGGUUUCGGCUUCAUCUCCCCAACCGACGGUAGCAAAGACGUUUUCGUACACUUCUCUGCAAUUCAGAACGGCGGCUUCAAGACGCUGGAAGAAGGCCAGAAAGUUGAGUUCACUAUCGAAAACGGCCAGAAAGGCCCAGCAGCAGCUAACGUAACUGCGCUGUAAGAUAGAAACUCCUUCGUUGUUACCGUCAUGAGUUAAUCUCUGACGGUAUGAUACGAAAACGAAAAGCCCGCCUUAUGGCGGGCUUUUUGCG